rnacentral:rRNA from 1 species
CCUACGGGUGGCAGCAGUGGGGGAUAUUGCACAAUGGGGGGAACCCUGAUGCAGCGACGCCGCGUGGGUGAAGGAGCGUUUCGGCGCGUAAAGCCCUAUCGGCGGGGAAGCAGAUGACGGUACCUGACCAAGAAGCCCCGGCUAACUACGUGCCAGCAGCCGCGGUAAUACGUAGGGGGCAAGCGUUAUCCGGAUUUACUGGGUGUAAAGGGAGCGUAGACGGCGCUGCAAGUCCGGAGUGAAAGCGCAUGGCUUAACCAUGGUACUGCUCUGGAAACUGUGGAGCUUGAGUGCGGGAGGGGCAGGCGGAAUUCAUAGUGUAGCGGUGAAAUGCGUAGAUAUUAGGAGGAACACCGGCGGCGAAGGCGGCCUGCUGGACCGUAACUGACGUUGAGGCUCGAAAGCGUGGGGAGCAAACAGGAUUAGAUACCCGUGUAGUC